rnacentral:lncRNA from 1 species
UCCUGUAAUGACUGCUUCCUGGAAAGCAGCCUCAUGUGGAACCUCUUAGUCUCAGCAUCCGGAGCUCUAGAAAAGGAAAAUUUCAAGUCUGAUAGAAUUCUAUGUAUAUCAUUUCUUUGGAACCUUCAGCCCUCAAGAUUUCAACAGCAUGGCCUCAGUUUCAACAUAGUUAUCCUUAGUUCUCAUGUCACAGUUUUGAUGCUGCCUGUUGUUGAAGCAGAAGAAGCCAGUGAUGUAAUCGAUCUCUUGUCAGGUGUGGUUCUCAGCAUUACAGGCAUUUGUGCUUACUUGCAGGUAUUUGCACUAGAAAGAUAUGGACACAUG